rnacentral:rRNA from 1 species
AUUGAACGCUGGCGGCAGGCCUAACACAUGCAAGUCGAACGGUAACAGGAAGCAGCUUGCUGCUUUGCUGACGAGUGGCGGACGGGUGAGUAAUGUCUGGGAAACUGCCCGAUGGAGGGGGAUAACUACUGGAAACGGUAGCUAAUACCGCAUAACGUCGCAAGACCAAAGAGGGGGACCUUAGGGCCUCUUGCCAUCGGAUGUGCCCAGAUGGGAUUAGCUAGUAGGUGGGGUAACGGCUCACCUAGGCGACGAUCCCUAGCUGGUCUGAGAGGAUGACCGCCCCACCUGGAACGGGGACACGGCCCAAACCCCCAGGGGAGGGCGGAGGGGGGAAUAUUGCAAAAUGGGGCAAAGCCUGAUGCAGCCAUGCCGGGGGUAUGAAGAAGGCCUUGGGGUUGUAAAUUUUUUUCAGCGGGGGGGAAGGGAAUAAAGUUAAUACCUUUGCUCAUUGACGUUACCCGCAAAAGAAGCACCGGCUAACUCCGG